ACGCUCACCUUGAUCAGACUCACCACCAUCUCUCUCUCUCUCUCUCUCUACAGUUCCCUUCCAUGGUACAGACCACCAAUAUCUUGCACCACCACCAUGGUCGUCGCACCUACAUCUCACCACCUACAACCUCAACACAAUUGACCAUCACCACCAUUCCUACCAUCCAUUGCCACCCUACCAUUUUCUCCAUCACCACCUCUUUCUUGUUCCAUGUGAAACCCUAAAAUCGAUACCAACAACUAAUAGAAUUUGGAGAAAAAUUUGAUCUAAGAAAAAUCAAAGCAAACAACUUAGAAGAUGCUACCAUAUACUCGUACAAAGCUUCUCAAUAGGAUCUCGAAGUUUCUCCGUGACGAUACUGAUAGCGGAUAUACCACCAAACCAGGCAAUUUACAUUAAUAAUCUCAACGAGAAGGUCAAGAAAGAAGGCAUUUGUAUUAGCAUUAUUUCGUUGUUUCUGUUUUGAACUUAUAAUACCACGAACUUCAAAAGCCUCUUUAUACAAGUCUAGUAACUCAGCUAAAAUCAUUGGGAAGGGGAAGGAAAAGAUUCAUCCAAAUCAUCUUCUCAUGUCUUCCAGGCAACCUGAUAAUUUGGAUUCAUAUAAGUUGGAGAAGUAGAUGCCAAGGGUAAAGCUAGAAAGUUGCCAAUUAAAGCAGAUAUUAGGAAAGCUUUAUGCUUUCCUGCAAUAUCUUUACAAGUUUAUUCUCUUUUAAAGUCUCAUGAAAAGUCAACAACCGGUUCCAUGUGUUAAAGUCAACAUGCUGGACCUGGAGUUGAAAAUUUGAUAAAAGGUUGCCAAGAUCUUGUCUGUAUGGAUAGUCUGGAAUGCUAAAAAAUCAAAUCUUACAAAGAGAAGCUAGAUUACUCAUCUGCAGCAGCAGUUAUUGGAUUUUCUCUCAUAGUAUCAUUACUAAGAGCUUUCAGGAUAAAAAGUGAAGCUACACAUGUCAUGGUUGCAGCUCCUUUAAUCGCCUUUGUAACCACCCACAUUAUUUUUUUAAACUGCUGCCAAUUUGAGUAUGGUAAGCGUUCAUUUCCCCUCAUAAUACAAUAAGGAAAAGACCUUUUUAACCUUUUUAAAAUUUUAAACCUUUUAUAUACAGACUUAAAUAUGAAGGUUUGUAUUAUAAUGGGAGUAUGGUAAGCGUCAUUUUUAGAGGCUCGUUAAAGAUGUUAUUGUUAGGAAAAUGGUCUUAAAGAUAAAAUAAUAAAGGAUAUUGAAUAUUUGAAUAUACGUGGGAAAACUCCAAACCCAGAGAAAAAAAAUCCAAUAUAUGACAAAUUAUUAGUCAAAUCUACUUUGUUGUGUCGUUUUAAAGUUUGUUUAUUUGAUCCCUUUCAGGAGAAAGGAGGUUGCUUCUUUGAAUGGUUUAGAGUGAAGGAUAAUGGUAAAGUUUGUGUUGAUACCUAAUUUGUGUUUGGUUGGUUUGUCAGGCACUUUGAAGCUGCCAGACAAUAAAUACAGCAUCGGAUAACUCCAACAAAAUUGUCCAACCGACUUCGGUUUAUACGGACUGAUGUCCUCCUGAUGGAUGAAGUCUUACAGAGGCCGGUGUACAAGAUUUUGGUUUCGAUGUCAUCAUUACUAUCUAUCUAUCUAUGAGUAAUGAGUUAGUCAUGUUUAUAAUUUGUUUAUUUGACUAGUUACUGAUUAAAAAUGUUGAUGGGUUCAGGCU